GGGGAGGAAGAGAAGUAAAGGUGUGGGAGGAUUUGUGGAGUCUGUAAAUAAACGAGAUAAACUUCAGGCGGUCCAGGAGAAGUUCAGGCGGAAGGUGACAGACCCUCUGAGGGGCCGUGGCAAUAUUGCCUUAAAAUGACAGAAUUGUGAGGAGGGAAAGGCAGUGCCUCGGACAAAAGCAGCAUUUUCAGCCUUUCAUGCUCAAAGACGUAGUGAAAACAGUCUCUACUUAGAAACAGUGUGGUUAAUAAUAAGUGUUUUAGUUGACUGUACGGUCCCAAAGAUGGUCUUGAGAGAUUUCUGUCAGCUGCCUUAAUUUCGUUCCUCUUUAAUAAACGGAACUGCACUGAGGUGGGGAUCAGCUUAAAGCCAGCUUCCUCCAUGGGAGCUGAAGGGCUGUUUACAUGGAACUGUCUUGGAGUGCAAUACAUUUUUAUUUUUUUGUGGUCUGUCUGUGGCUAAAAUCAUACAAGAAACCUAUUGUACUGAUACGGGAAAGAGACCAGCUAGGCACCAGUUACAGAAGGAGACUGCAUUCCUGUUAUUAAUCAUACUCGUGUAUGAUGCACAGACUUUGCACAGGGCAUAUCUAGAAAACAAAAAGCAGUUGAAUACAAUGUAGAGAGCUGAUAAAAGUUAGCACUGCAUUGACAGUCCAGCCAAGAACAGGACAGGAACAGCUUUUACUCCUGGGCAGAAAAGAAGAGACUUUCUAACAUGCAGAAAAAUGAAGUUCUGUGAAUGGAGGAAGGAGUACAAAGCAGAAAGUGUGUUUUCUGAGUGUCUUUGUGGCAUCAAAUUUUUAAAAGCCCUGUAAAAUAAGGCAAGAUCUUCUGUGGGUGCACAUUGCCAUAGUUGUUAUAAUUUAGAAUAUCUGCACUAUUUUCACUUAAACUGGGGAUUUAGCACAUUUUGACAGUCCCAGUGACAGAAUAUGUUACAGAUAUUUGCUUGACAGAAUUUGUACAACUUAGAGUUGACUUGCUUGAUUAUUCUUUGUGCUUGUGUGUGCCCCCUCCACCAACCAUGCUGAGGACUGUCAUUUAGCUUGACUCCACUCUAUUCAGUUGAGCAGUGGCUGCAGGAGGCCAGCCGGCACAUAUCCUAGGGCCAUACAAGUGCUGUUUGGCAGGAUGUGCUCUGCAAAGCCAGAGGCACUCAAGGGACUACAGAAAGAGUCACAUUUGUGACAUAAUACUGAGUGCCUGAGCCAUGCUCAUUGUGAUGAAGUGUGUGGUGUUUGUUCUCAGCUGGUUGUGCAGUUGUAUGUGUAUAGUAGCUUUGCUGCUGUUUUCAAUAAAUAAUUUGCAGCUAA